rnacentral:lncRNA from 1 species
UUGGGGAACCAUCUGUGAGGGCAGGCCCGACAUGCUAGGCCUGUGCCAGAGUGUGGGCUUGCUCUCAUGCUGAAGCACGUGGGACCUUUCAUAUGAGAAGUUCUCUUCCGAGGACGCCACUCCCUCCCCGCCUGCUGUCCUCUCACCUUAGUCACUGAACAGAGAGGAAGUUCCCUCUUCCUACUCCUGAACUCAGGCCAGCCCUGCCCCUCAAACUGUGUGAACACCCUAGCUGUCAGAGGUGCAAGGAAGCUAGGGAUGGGGAUGGGGUAGGUUGCCCUGGCACGAAACCUGUCAGUGCCUAGAUGCCCUCAAUUCUUUGGCAGAGCAGGUAGCUCUCUCUCUCUCUGCUGUACUCUAGGGUGGAGCCAUGGGAGUGCUUAGAGCUGCUAAGCACCAGGCAGGUUAGAGGAGUGGCAGCCACUCUGUUUAGUUCCUCUCCUGCCAAUGGGACUGGCUCUGGCCACUGCUCUGCCUCAGAGACUGCCUGGCCAUGGCCCCUUCCUUUGAGUUCAGAACAAGCGUGGACUGGUUAGCAUAGACUCGUGUUCUGUUAAGGGCAGGCAGUUAGGAGUUGUGGUGUGCCAGAUAAUAAAGCUUAGGGCAACCAUGUCUUAGUGUCUAAGAGGAAAAACACAGGCUAACAGUGGCACCCCAGGAGCACCCCUUCCCCUUUAGAUCUUUCAAGCUUUCUACUAUGCAGUACAGAAGUAACAAGUCCAUUUCCUUGACACUCUUGUUUUGCAAAAGAGGAAACCAGCAUUAAAGUGUGACUCGGCUGAGUGAGCAUGGUGGCGCCUGCUCUAGCACUCUGGAGACUGAGGCAGGAAAUAGCUAGUUUUAAGGGCAGCCUGGGCUACAGAGCAAGCCCUUAUAUCAGAAAACUAAAAUAGGGCUGGAGAGAUGGCUCAGUGGAUAGAGUUGUGUGCUUUAUACACGUGAGGUCUAGAGACCUACAUAAGGGCCAGGCUGGCUUGUGGCUCACCUGUAAUUCCAGGACUUGGGGUCUCGGGCAAGCCGGGAAGCUCAGCCACCGGCUCUGGGUUCCACAAAAGUCUCUAUCUUGGUAAACGGCAUGGAUAGUAACUAAGGGGGACAUCUGAUGGCUGCCUCUGUCUUCUGUAAGCAUGAACACAUCUGUCUGCAUCUGCAUGCACGUGUGCACAUCUGUCUGCGUCUGCAUGCACAUGUGCACAUCUGUCUGCGUCUGCAUGCACAUGUGCCAAAAUUCAGAGUAAAGAAGCACAGUUUGUGAUGACCUCCUGGGGUCUGGGAAGAUCUGUUUGAAACCUGGCUAGGGUAUCCUUCCAGCUGCUAAGGCACAAGGGGCUGUGAUGUCUCCCACACACAGUAAUGGUAGUCUUAACUGCCCUUCAUUCUGUAGCUCAGACAAACUGAAAUUUACAAUGUGCUGGCCUCAGCUUCCUAAAUGGGGACUUUGAGAACCACAUACUCCUGGAUGGACGUGGGCUAUCGGCAUGGGUGGGGAUAGAGGUGCCACUCAGAGCAUGUCACAUGUCCAGGCACUGCCAGCAUCAGGGACCCAUCCAGGAGACUGCUGCUGCCUCACGUGCAAGCCUGCACUUGCUUCCUGGCCGGGAGUUUCGUCCAUUGACACAUUUUCUAACCUGCCAGGCUCCGUAGCCUCAGAGUCCGUGAGGACAGACUGGCACAUGCCGGAGGGCCUUCUGUUCAAGGGCUCUGCUUAAGGCUGACCUUAGCUUUGGUUUUGGGGUAGUACUUAUUUUAUUUUAAAAAGACUUUUUUCUUUUAAGG